rnacentral:tRNA from 1 species
AGCUAAAUAGCUUAAAUAAAGCAUAUAUUUUGAAAAUAUAAGAAAAAGGUUUAUUCCUUUAUUAGCUU